ACGGCUCAGUAACACGUGGACAACCUACCCUUAGGUCGGGGAUAAACCCGGGAAACUGGGUAUAAUACCCGAUAGUCCUCGGAUGCUGGAAUGCACCGAGGUCUAAAGCUCCGGCGCCUAAGGAUGGGUCUGCGACCUAUCAGGUAGUAGUGGGUGUAGCGUACCUACUAGCCUACGACGGGUACGGGUUGUGAGAGCAAGAGCCCGGAGAUGGAUUCUGAGACACGAAUCCAGGCCCUACGGGGUGCAGCAGGCGCGAAAACUUUACAAUGCUGGAAACAGCGAUAAGGGAACCUCGAGUGCCAGGUUACAAAUCUGGCUGUCGUGAUGCCUAAAAAGCAUUGCAUAGCAAGGGCCGGGCAAGACCGGUGCCAGCCGCCGCGGUAACACCGGCGGCUCGAGUGGUAACCGCUAUUAUUGGGUCUAAAGGGUCUGUAGCCGGCCGGAUAAGUCUUUUGGGAAAUCUGGCAGCUUAACUGUCAGGCUUUCAGAGGAUACUGUCUGGCUCGAGGCCGGGAGAGGUGAGAGGUACUUCAGGGGUAGGGGUGAAAUCUUGUAAUCCUUGAAGGACCACCAGUGGCGAAGGCGUCUCACCAGAACGGACCUGACGGCAAGGGACGAAGGCUAGGGGCACGAACCGGAUUAGAUACCCGGGUAGUCCUAGCCGUAAACGAUACUCGCUAGGUGUCGGCCACGGUGCGACCGUUGUCGGUGCCGUAGGGAAGCCGUGAAGCGAGCCACCUGGGAAGUACGGCCGCAAGGCUGAAACUUAAAGGAAUUGGCGGGGAAACAC
rnacentral:rRNA from 1 species